AGUGAACGCUGGCGGUAGGCCUAACACAUGCAAGUCGAACGGCAGCACAGUAAGAGCUUGCUCGUACGGGUGGCGAGUGGCGGACGGGUGAGGAAUACAUCGGAAUCUACUUUUUCGUGGGGGAUAACGUAGGGAAACUUACGCUAAUACCGCAUACGACCUACGGGUGAAAGCAGGGGAUCUUCGGACCUUGCGCGAUUGAAUGAGCCGAUGUCGGAUUAGCUAGUUGGCGGGGUAAAGGCCCACCAAGGCGACGAUCCGUAGCUGGUCUGGGAGGAUGAUCAGCCACACUGGAACUGAGACACGGUGCAGACUCCUACGGGAGGCAGCAGUGGGGAAUAUUGGACAAUGGGCGCAGGCCUGAUCCAGCCAUACCGCGUGGGUGAAGAAGGCCUUCGGGUUGUAAAGCCCUUUUGUUGGGAAAGAAAAGCAGCAGGUUAAUACCCCGCUGUUCUGACGGUACCCAAAGAAUAAGCACCGGCUAACUUCGUG
rnacentral:rRNA from 1 species